AGCCGUGCGGUGGGCACAAAGCGAACUAUUCUUUCGCCUUUUACUAAAGAAUACCGUGUGCUCGCCGCCUUCAGCGGCAUACGCCUAUUUUUGGAGGGCUUCCCUUCGGGGUU
rnacentral:snRNA from 2 species